rnacentral:rRNA from 1 species
CCUACGGUGAGCAGCAGUGAGGAAUAUUGGUCAAUGGACGCAAGUCUGAACCAGCAAUGCCGCGUGCAGGAAGACGGCUCUAUGAGUUGUAAACUGCUUUUGUACGAGGGUAAACGCAGAUACGCGUAUCUGUCUGAAAGUAUCGUACGAAUAAGGAUCGGCUAACUCCGUGCCAGCAGCCGCGGUAAUACGGAGGAUUAAAGCGUUGACCGGAUUUAUUGGGUUUAAAGGGUGCGUAGGCGGUCGGAUAAGUUAGAGGUGAAAUCCCGAGGCUCAACCUCGGAAUUGCCUCUGAUACUGUUCGGCUAGAGAGGAGUUGCGGUAGGCAGAAUGUCUGGUGUAGCGGUGAAAUGCUUAGAGAUCAUACAGAACACCGAUUGCGAAGGCAGCUUACCAAGCUACUUCUGACGUUGAGGCACGAAAGCGUGGGGAGCAAACAGGAUUAGAUACCCGAGUAGUC